GACUAUAACCCAUAGCCUUCCAAGCUAACGAUGCGGGUUCGAUUCCCACCCGUCU
rnacentral:tRNA from 1 species